rnacentral:rRNA from 1 species
AGGGAAUCUUCCACAAUGGGCGAAAGCCUGAUGGAGCAACGCCGCGUGAGUGAAGAAGGAUUUCGGUUCGUAAAACUCUGUUGUAAGGGAAGAACAAGUACAGUAGUAACUGGCUGUACCUUGACGGUACCUUAUUAGAAAGCCACGGCUAACUACGUGCCAGCAGCCGCGGUAAUACGUAGGUGGCAAGCGUUGUCCGGAAUUAUUGGGCGUAAAGCGCGCGCAGGUGGUUUCUUAAGUCUGAUGUGAAAGCCCACGGCUCAACCGUGGAGGGCAAUUGGAAACGGGGAGACUGGAGGGCAGAAGAGGAUAGUGGAAUUCCAGGUGUAGCGGUGAAAUGCGUAGAGAUUUGGAGAAAAACAAGGGGGGAAGCCGAUAAUCUGGUCUGUAACUGACACUGGGGCGCAAAAGCGUGGGAGCAAACA